UACGGAGGGAGCAAGCGUUACUCGGAAUUAUUGGGCGUAAAGAGCUCGUAGGCGGCUUGUUACGUCGGCUGUGAAAACCCGCGGCUCAACCGCGGGCCUGCAGCCGAUACGGGCAGGCUAGAGUUCGGUAGGGGAGACUGGAAUUCCGGGUGUAGUGGUGGAAUGCGUAGAUAUCCGGAGGAACACCAGUGGCGAAAGCGGCUCUCUGGGGGCAACCUGACGCUGAGGCGCGAAAGCGUGGGGAGCGAACCGG
rnacentral:rRNA from 1 species